UAGGGAAUCUUCGGCAAUGGGGGCAACCCUGACCGAGCAACGCCGCGUGAGUGAAGAAGGUUUUCGGAUCGUAAAGCUCUGUUGUAGGUCAAGAACGGGUGUGAGAGUGGAAAGUUCACACUGUGACGGUAGCUUACCAGAAAGGGACGGCUAACUACGUGCCAGCAGCCGCGGUAAUACGUAGGUCCCGAGCGUUGUCCGGAUUUAUUGGGCGUAA
rnacentral:rRNA from 1 species